AGAGUUUGAUCAUGGCUCAGGACGAACGCUGGCGGCGUGCUUAACACAUGCAAGUCGAGCGGAAAGGCCUUCGGGGUACUCGAGCGGCGAACGGGUGAGUAACACGUGAGUAAUCUGCCCCUAGCUCUGGGAUAGCUCCGGGAAACCGGGAUUAAUACCGGAUAUGACUACCUAGACAUCUGGUGUGGUGGAAAGGGUUUCCGGCUAGGGAUGAGCUCGCGGCCUAUCAGCUUGGUGGGGUAACGGCCUACCAAGGCGACGACGGGUAGCCGGCCUGAGAGGGCGACCGGCCACACUGGGACUGAGACACGGCCCAGACUCCUACGGGAGGCAGCAGUGGGGAAUAUUGCGCAAUGGGCGAAAGCCUGACGCAGCGACGCCGCGUGGGGGAUGAAGGCCUUCGGGUUGUAAACCCCUUUCAGCAGGGACGAAGCGAAAGUGACGGUACCUGCAGAAGAAGCGCCGGCUAACUACGUGCCAGCAGCCGCGGUAACACGUAGGGCGCAAGCGUUGUCCGGAAUUAUUGGGCGUAAAGAGCUCGUAGGCGGUCUGUUGCGUCUGCUGUGAAAACUCGGGGCUUAACCCCGAGCCUGCAGUGGAUACGGGCAGACUAGAGGUAGGUAGGGGAGAAUGGAAUUCCCGGUGUAGCGGUGAAAUGCGCAGAUAUCGGGAGGAACACCGGUGGCGAAGGCGGUUCUCUGGGCCUUACCUGACGCUGAGGAGCGAAAGCGUGGGGAGCGAACAGGAUUAGAUACCCUAGUAGUCC
rnacentral:rRNA from 1 species